GAUGAACGCUGGCGGCGUGCUUAACACAUGCCAGUCGAACGAAGCACCCUACUUGAUCUCUUCGGAGUGAUUGUUUUGUGACUGAGUGGCGGACGGGUGAGUACCGCGUGGGUAACCUGCCUCAUACAGGGGGAUAACAGUUGGAAACGACUGCUAAUACCUCAUAAGCGCACAGCAUCGCAUGAUGCAGCGUGAAAAACUCCGGUGGUAUGAGAUGGACCCGCGUCUGAUUAGCCAGUUGGUGGGGUAACGGCCUACCAAAGCGACGAUCAUUAGCCGACCUGAGAGGGUGACCGGCCACAUUGGGACUGAGACACGGCCCAAACUCCUACGGGAGGCAGCAGUGGGGAAUAUUGCACAAUGGGGGAAACCCUGAUGCAGCGACGCCGCGUGAGCGAAGAAGUAUUUCGGUAUGUAAAGCUCUAUCAGCAGGGAAGAAGAAAUGACGGUACCUGACUAAGAAGCACCGGCUAAAUACGUGCCAGCAGCCGCGGUAA
rnacentral:rRNA from 1 species